UACGGGGGGUGCAAGCGUUGUCCGGAUUUAUUGGGCGUAAAGCGUUCGUAGGCGGUACAUUAAGUCUGAAGUUAAAUCCUAGGGCUCAACUCUGGGUGGGCAUUGGAUACUGGUGAACCAGAAUGCGGCAGAGGUUAAGGGAAUUCCUGGUGUAGCGGUGAAAUGCGUAGAUAUCAGGAGGAACACCGGAGGCGAAAGCGCUUAACUGGGCCGAAAUUGACGCUGAGGAACGAAAGCCGGGGGAGCAAAU
rnacentral:rRNA from 1 species